rnacentral:rRNA from 1 species
UACGAAGGGGGCUAGCGUUGCUCGGAAUCACUGGGCGUAAAGCGCACGUAGGCGGCUUUCUAAGUCAGGGGUGAAAUCCUGGAGCUCAACUCCAGAACUGCCUUUGAUACUGGGGAGCUCGAGUCCGGAAGAGGUGAGUGGAACUCCGAGUGUAGAGGUGAGAUUCGUAGAUAUUCGGAAGAACACCAGUGGCGAAGGCGGCUCACUGGUCCGGUACUGACGCUGAGGCGCGAAAGCGUGGGGAGCAAACAGG